rnacentral:rRNA from 1 species
CCUACGGGAGGCAGCAGUGGGGAAUUUUUGGCAAUGGGCGAAAGCCUGACCAAGCAACGCCGCGUGGAUGAUGAAGUAUUUCGGUACGUAAAAUCCUUUCGACGGGGACGAAGCCGCAAGGUUGACGGUACCCGUAGAAGAAGCCCCGGCUAACUCCGUGCCAGCAGCCGCGGUAAUACGGGGGGGGCAAGCGUUGUUCGGAAUUACUGGGCGUAAAGGGCGCGUAGGCGGCCCGCUAAGUCGGAUGUGAAAACUCUGGGCUCAACCCAGAGACUGCAUUCGAAACUGACGGGCUAGAGUUCUGGAGGGGAAAGCGGAAUUCCUGGUGUAGCAGUGAAAUGCGUAGAUAUCAGGAGGAACACCGGUGGCGAAGGCGGCUUUCUGGACAGAAACUGACGCUGAGGCGCGAAAGCUAGGGGAGCAAACAGGAUUAGAUACCCUGGUAGUCCUAGCCCUAAACGAUGGAUACUUGCUGUGAGGGGGAUUGAAUCCCUUCGUGGCGAAGCUAACGCAUUAAGUAUCCCGCCUGGGGAGUACGGUCGCAAGGCUGAACUCAAAGGAAUUGACGG